rnacentral:rRNA from 1 species
GACGUAGGGUGCAAGCGUUGUCCGGAUUUAUUGGGCGUAAAGAGCUCGUAGGCGGCUUGUUGCGUCGACUGUGAAAACCCGCGGCUUAACCGCGGGCUUGCAGUUGAUACGGGCAGGCUAGAGUUCGGUAGGGGAGACUGGAAUUCCUGGUGUAGCGGUGAAAUGCGCAGAUAUCAGGAGGAACACCGGUGGCGAAGGCGGGUCUCUGGGCCGAUACUGACGCUGAGUGCGCGAAAGCCAGGGGAGCAAACGGG